AGUUAGCACAGCAUGGUGAAGUAUGUGCUGUAUUUAGUGCCUGCUUCACUUGUUUUAUCUGUCUUCCAGUCUUCAGUGAUUUCUGCAAUCAAAUACAUUAUUUUCCUCGAUUCUUCCUUGUUCCUGGUACCUUGGUAUGCUCUGUCUUAUUUAGAUUCAAAAUGGAUGACCUCACACAUAUUCCAAUUGAAUUCCACCUGCUACAGUUUUGCAAAUGUAGUGAAGGGUGAGGCCUUAAUAUAAAACUUUGGGAAAUGCCGAUAGCAAGAUUCUGCUAAUUCUAAUACAUAUUCAUGAUCCCUACGCUGUGCCUGCUAUCUCCUACCAAAUUACCUACCCAUGUUAGGUUGCCCCCAAUUCUCCAUGUCCUGAUUUUUUUUUUAAAAAAGAUUGUCUCUUAUAUUGUUAUUGAAUACUUUACAAAGAUUUUGUCUUAUCAACUGCUUUGGCUACUGCUACGAAAUAAUCGAGUAUUUUGUCAUGUGUGACUUAAAUCCAUAGCCAGGAUUUUGUGUGAACCAGCAAAGACGAGAUGUGGGAUUGGAAGGCUGUGUGCUGAUGCUUCUAGUCUAAUUCAUGAUCUCACUGAAAUCUGGCAUUGGUCAGCCUCUUAGUAGACAAGGCAGGAUACCAGCUUGACCAUUUGCUGGUUAAAGGCAGAGGCUGAAGCCUUUACAUUUUUGACACUCGCAAGUGGGUUGGCAUUAUUUUUAAAAGGUUACUAGCACUGCAAUGCUUCUUCAGGCCUCCCUCAUUAUCUGUUCAAUCAUCCUUUCCAGGCUUCAGUCAUUCCUUCCAAACCACUUGCAGUCAUCCUUUUCAGUCUGGUUAGAGUCAUCCAUUCAAGAACUUUAGCCAGCACUGCAACCUUGCCAGUGGAUGAAGGUCAUAAUGUCAGGAAGGAAGGCAAUUUGAAGACAAACCAGGGCAGAAAUUUUCAUCUAUUGUUGGAGUCACAGUACAACGGAUUACACCAAGGAUUGUUUGAGCGGGACCAUAAUGUCUGUGGUCAUCUUUUGGAUCAUCCAGAACCACUAUCCUACACUAGUCAAGGCAGCCUGGGCCGGCAACCAAGAUGAACAGCAUCAAUAAAGUUGAAGACAGCUGAGACUGCUUUAACCUUGUGGCAUCCUUGGACCAGGCUGGUGUGCUCUGGCAUCGUGGUGUCCAUUGCUGGUCUGGCGGAGGGAAAAGUCCUGCCUGUGCGUCACCUCAUCUCGCAGGAUCUCCAGUUCCCCUUUAGACAAGGAUGUGGGUCGCUGGCUGGACGAGCAUUUAUUGCCCAUUCCGAGUUGCCCUUGGGAGGUGGUAGUGAGCUUUGUUGAGCAGCUGGAGUCCAUUUGCGUUAGGUAGACCUACGCUGUCAUUAGGAAGGGAGUUCCGCAAACUUGACCCACAUUGGAGGCAAUUGAGUUCUGGACUGGCCUUCACAGAGAGCUCCUGAGAAACCUAUUAAUUGUGUCUGACUAGUAAUAUAGCUGUACUUAUCACUGCCAUUUAAUAAACUAUCUUGUUAACCAAAACAAGGACCUCUUCUAUUUAGACUCACCAGUGGUCUAUCCUCUACCACUGAUAAUUAGAUUGGCCCAAUGCACUGUAUAGCCUGAGGAGGAUUAGUGGCAAUGAAUUACCUUAACCAUCCUAUUGGCAGAGGUGGCAGAGACCACAAGGUCUCAGCAGUGGCAGUCAAGACAUAUACUAUAACCUCAUUGAAUUUUGGCAACUUCUGCUUCCCUGAUUUAAUUGCUCCACUGUCAACAGCUAUGCCUUCAGCUACUGAGGUCCAAAGCUUUGGAAUUUCCUCCUUACACAUCUCUGACUCUCUCUUUCAUUUUCCUCCAUUAAAUAGCUUCCAAAACUUAUUUCUUUGACUAAGCUUGUGGUCAUCUGACCUAAUAUACCUAAAGUGUCUUAAUAUCAUAUUUUAGUUAGAAUGGCCCUGUAAAGUGCUCUUUUGACAUUUCAAUACAUUGAAGGAAAUAGGUUAAUUUUUGUCAAGAUCAGCUCUCUCCUUAAUUGCAGAGUUACUGUUGCCACAGUUAAUGGUUCCUUUGUGACUUUUAUUGAUUCAAGUUCCUUCAAGCUCCUUUUUCACUUGCCUACACUUUUUCAGUAUGCAGGUCUGGUCUACACACCACUUCAGCACAUCUAUACCUGCACGGUAGAUUUUACUGUGCAUUGAUCAUUCUCUUGUGAAAACACACCUGAGCUCUCCCGAUUGUCUCAUACUCCAAUAGCUGGAUUGUCACAUUGUCCUCUCUUGGCCAUGUUUGUAGACAGGAUCUGGAAACCUGACAGUUAGCUGGAUGAGUGCAUUAGCUAAGUUAAUGGUGUUCCUAUACUUACUUGAGCUUUGCCUAGAUGUUUGUCUCUAGUUUAUGAGUGGACCACAUCCCUUUGUACCUCCUGCAAGCCUUUAACCCAAUACAUCAAAAGGCAGUGUCUCCCAAAUUGGUGAGCUGCUCCACUUCUCUGCUACUGUCAAAAUCUUGCUAUUACUGUUGAAUUGCAGUUCUUUAGGCAGUCUCAUCAUGUGAAGUAAGGGGUUAGCCUCCAGUUAUCAAUUCAAUGUGAUUGCAAGGGACCCAUGCCAUGAGCUAGUGCAACCCUACUUCUUGUCAUUCUACAAAAACAUUCUUAAUUCUUCCAAGAGAUGGCAGUCUUUUUACAUGUUUUUGGAUAUUGCAUAUAUUUCAGCAGAGUUCCUCGACAGUGGGGACUUGACUUUCUGCCUCGCAGCCACUUUGCCACAAGACCCUAAUCAGCAGAAAAUAUAUCUACUGUACUGAACCUGAUUGUGGAGUGAUACUAUAGUUGAUUGCUUCAGCAUCAAACAUAGUGAAGCAAUCCAACAUCCGAAAAGAUGGUUAACAGCAAUAACAAGCGUUCUCACAAACUUCUGUCAGCCAAUUAUUAUGUUCCUGCAUAGCUUGUGCAGUGUGCCACUGAAUUUAUGGCAGACUUUUGGAAAUCUCCAAUCCAUUGGUUUUCGGCAUUAUGCAAUCUUUUCAUGAGUUUGCACCCUCUCAGUGCAGAGCCUUGUUUGUCAUUGAUGUAUAUUUUAUAUCUUAUAAACCGAGGUUAUCUCUGCAUAGUUCUAUGUGCGGAACUGGUUCUAUUCAUGCUGCCUUUUAAAAGUAGUAAUCUAUGCUUAUGGCUUGGGCUACCAGCUUCAUAGAGGUCUGCAGCGCAGAAAAAGGCUCUUCAGUCCAUCAAAUCUGUGUGGUCUAAAAUAACCAUUGAACUAUUCAAAUCCCAUUGUCCAAUAUUUGGCCCAUACAGCUUAUAUGAUGUGGUGGUGUUGUUGGGGCAAUGCGUAUUUGUUUGUCUUUAUCUGAGGUGAUGGAGUCUGGUCUCCAAUUUCUUGCCUGUUUCUACCAUUGAAUAAAAACCUAGUUCCAAUCACCUAAACCGAUUGAUUGGAGAAUUUUUGAUCUUUUCUCUCUUAAUUGGCAUAGAUUUUUUCAUUCACUUCGCUUCUUGGAAAUUCUACAGUCAUCAAUGAGUAGAGAACAUCUGUAUCAUGAUGCAUAUGUUAUCACAACUGUGUGAAACAGGGAGUCAGUUUUUGCAAGUUAUGAAUGUGACUCAACCAUAAAACUAAGGCUUUAUCUCUGGAAUGCUAGGAGGAGCACUUCCACAAAUGUGCAAUGUUGUUAGCGAAUUAGUGAUUUCCUGUUUGUCAGGGUAAAUGAAUAGGUCUUAAUUUUUAAAAGGUAAAAUGAAAAAUAAAUAUGGUACAAUGUGAGAAAUAAGAGUGCUGUUGAAUUCUAAAUACAAGUUAACAGUGAAGUAAGAAGUUAAUUUGAAAUACACAAGAAGAAAUUAAUCUUGGAACGAUCUCCAAAGGGAAAGACAGAAAACUAGUGAAUGACCUGUUCUGGUUCAUCUUAUCUUGAAUACCUCACACUGGAGCUCCAGUCUCACCAGUAUUAAGUAUGACUUUUUUAAAAAAGGUGUUUUUGUCCCUCUGGGAAAUCUGUAUCCUUCCUGGAGUUGGUUCUGUAACUGGCAAAAAAGGAUCUCAACUUUGUCUCACUUACAAUUUAUGAUGUUUUUGCCAACAUAAUAAAACAAGAAAAAAAUUA